GUGGGGAAUAUUGCGCAAUGGGGGAAACCCUGACGCAGCAACGCCGCGUGAAGGAUGAAGGUUUUCGGAUCGUAAACUUCUUUGAUGGGGGACGAACAAUGACGGUACCCCAAAAACAAGCCACGGCUAACUACGUGCCAGCAGCCGCGGUAAUACGUAGGUGGCGAGCGUUGUCCGGAAUUACUGGGUGUAAAGGGCGUGUAGGCGGGAAUACAAGUCAGAUGUGAAAUACCGUGGCUCAACCACGGGGCUGCAUCUGAAACUGUAUUUCUUGAGUGUCGGAGAGGAAAGUGGAAUUCCCAGUGUAGCGGUGAAAUGCGUAGAUAUUGGGAGGAACACCAGUGGCGAAGGCGACUUUCUGGACGACAACUGACGCUGAGGCGCGAAAGCGUGGGGAGCAAACAGGAUUAGAUACCCUUGUAGUCC
rnacentral:rRNA from 1 species